rnacentral:rRNA from 1 species
AUAUCAAUAAGCGGAGGAAAAGAAAAUAACAAUGAUUCCCCUAGUAACUGCGAGUGAAGCGGGAAAAGCUCAAAUUUAAAAUCUCCUUGGGCGCAAAGUCCUUGGCGAAUUGUAGUUUCAAGAAGCACUUUCGGUUGAAGCCUUGGUUCAAGUCCCUUGGAAUAGGGCG